UUGCACAAUUACCAAUUAACUAACGUCCCAAAGUGCAGCGAUGAACGUCAGUUAAUGCUCUGCGGUCGUAAUAUCACCUGUGCAUCAGCUGCGUGGGAGAACUAACUGAUAGGAGUAAACCAACGAUAUAUCAGCAAAUCUAUUUCUGGUCACCGGAACCCCUUGCUAAUUUUAAGUCUUGACAAAAUGAUGGCGCUUAUGAAAAUAAUCACAUGGUGAAAAAUGUAUGUAUAUGCAUUUGACGGUGUCUAUGGCAAUAUACAAAUGGCAGAAGUAUGCCGGAGGAAUCGCCAACGUCAUACUUGAUGAGUACGUCAGUUAGUGGGCGUUGCAGGUGGUAAACAGAGCU